rnacentral:lncRNA from 9 species
GUGGCCCUAAAAAAAAAAAAAAGAAAGAAAAAAAAAGCGAUAAGUGAUUGUGAGGUCUAUUGAGAAACUACAAAAAACAGUGAUAUCUCUGUUGCUUUUAGUUCUUUCUAUGAAGGAAGAAGAGAUGAGGGAGAGAGAGAGUAAAGAUGCCCAUGCAGCCUCAGGUCCUAAGAGCAUCAUCCAACAAGAUGAACAGGAUCCGCCCCUCCAACGCCUUCCUGGGACAGUCCAGCAGGACAGCAGCUCUCAACAAACACAUCUGCAUGUUUCAUUAUAAUCGAGUGAGAAGAACACGUUUGGGUGAGAAAUAUGAAGACAAUGGGAGAAAGAAAAGAGAAUUUCUGCGUCUCAGCUAUGACAUUGGUGCUGAGCCUGCAGACAAAAUACCUGGAUGAUGUGAGUAAUGCUCUUAGAUCAAUGUCUGGGAAAUAGGAGUUCCCACUGUGGCUCAGUGGUAAAGAAC